rnacentral:rRNA from 1 species
GAUGAACGCUGGCGGCGUGCUUAACACAUGCAAGUCGAACGAAGCACUUUAUUACAAUUUUUUCGGAAUGACGAUUUAGUGACUGAGUGGCGGACGGGUGAGUAACGCGUGGGUAACCUGCCUUAUACAGGGGGAUAACAGUUAGAAAUGACUGCUAAUACCGCAUAAGCGCACAGGAUUGCAUGAUCUGGUGUGAAAAACUCCGGUGGUAUAAGAUGGACCCGCGUCUGAUUAGCUGGUUGGUGAGGUAACGGCCCACCAAGGCGACGAUCAGUAGCCGACCUGAGAGGGUGACCGGCCACAUUGGGACUGAGACACGGCCCAAACUCCUACGGGAGGCAGCAGUGGGGAAUAUUGCACAAUGGAGGAAACCCUGAUGCAGCGACGCCGCGUGAGCGAAGAAGUAUUUCGGUAUGUAAAGCUCUAUCAGCAGGGAAGAAAAAAAUGACGG